GAGCUUUAACGAGCAUCGUCUCGCAACUUCUGAAGUUUUGGGUCCUUCCUCCACAAAAUUUGCUCAUUGACUCUUCUUUCACUUAGUUGUCACAUCCAAGUAGGUUCGCAUCACUUCCGCUUUCGAUUGGCAUUUCGUUGGGAAAUGAAGCGGACAAUCUACUCUCAGUAACACUGAUCACCGUUGGUGAGGAUUUGACAACUAUUGUCUUCCAUUAUCUUCGAAGGGUCUUUGAACAUAUACAGAGCUCCUCUACUGGAUAGAUAAGAGAAUUGGGGUACUCGGUUUCCCCCAUUCUCUUAAGAGUUGAGAAGGCAAAGGUUACUUGACUUCGCCCGCCUCCUCGAGGUUGUACUUCAUGCAUCGAGCUGGUUACUAGCCUUCGCCUGCUCUUUGCUCACACUUCUGAAGCACUUGAAGUGUUUGCACCCCUUGCGUUGAGUUAGUUACUGUGAUUCACCUUCUCAAUGCCAUCGAACUUCUGGAAUGCAGGAAGUUUUCACCCCAACUUGGAGUAAUUCUCUCAUAGGUUUGGUCGCCUCUGGGAUUGUACCGUCUUCUCCAUCAACCCUGCCGCCUACUCCUCUGAGUAGCAAAGGUACAGCACCACGUACUGCCUGCUUCGUUCCUUGGUUAUGCACUCUUGCAUUGACACCGGUCUUACGAAGUUCUUCGGCCUUUGCCCUUCAGCCUUGUCUCGGUACUUGGAGAUUGCCUCUACAUUCUCCACCUCCUCGGCCCCUUUCACGACCAAGCGCUCUCCCUCCAUAAGAGCAAGGGAUCAAUGACUUUCACGGAAGUCCCGCCUCUGCAGUACCAUGGCACUGCCAUGCCCAUGGCACUACUAUCCGUCGCCUCACAUCUGUAUCCCUUCUCUUCACAAUCAGUAGAAAUGCCUCUGUGGCACUCCUCCGAGUCCACCUCCAUUCUAACUGAUUGCUUGAUUUUGGGUAGCUAAGUCCCUCUGGACUCGUCGUCGCUUCCUCGCCCCUUUCGACCCCCUGCUUCAAUACCUCUGUGUUCUCCAAGCAGUCCGUUUGGUCGAUGGAAAGACAGACUGCAACUCCCAUGCAUGGCCUCUGCCAUCAUGUUGUAGGGUUUGCACCGAUUCUGUUCUCCUUAGCUUCCUUGGUAGCAACGUUCGCUUACUCGGCCUUGUCCUCUGACUUG
rnacentral:lncRNA from 1 species